AUGGGUCUGUCAGGGAUUGCCACUUGAAUGAAGAGAGUCAGUCUGGAGGGGAAGCCAACAGAGGAAAGUAGAGCUGCUUCACAGAGGAAGCAGGUCUGAUGAAAAUGCUUGAGUAGCGGGAUCCAGCCAUACCUUAAGAAACAAAGGAAAGGUUGGAGGAAGGGUUGUCUGGGAGAAAGGAAGAUCUACUGAACAACUGCUGACACGUGAAACACAGGAUGGCGGCAACGGGAGGGCCCUGAGUGCGACCAUCUGCUAGACCCUAGGUCCCAUGGCCUUUCCAGAAGGCCGUGUGGGUCCUAAGAAGUGAGUUCACAGCCCGACCCAACAAAAGCACGUUGGCUUUCUCGCCAUGGCCAUGGGGUCAU